rnacentral:rRNA from 1 species
GACGAACGCUGGCGGCGUGCCUAAUACAUGCAAGUAGAACGCUGAAGGAGGAGCUUGCUUCUCUGGAUGAGUUGCGAACGGGUGAGUAACGCGUAGGUAACCUGCCUGGUAGCGGGGGAUAACUAUUGGAAACGAUAGCUAAUACCGCAUAAUAGUAGAUGUCGCAUGACAUUUGCUUAAAAGGUGCAAUUGCAUCACUACCAGAUGGACCUGCGUUGUAUUAGCUAGUUGGUGAGGUAACGGCUCACCAAGGCAACGAUACAUAGCCGACCUGAGAGGGUGAUCGGCCACACUUGGACUGAGACACGGCCCAGGCUCCUACGGGAGGCAGCAGUAGGGAAUCUUCGGCAAUGGACGGAAGUCUGACCGAGCAACGACGCGUGAGUGAAGAAGGUUUUCGGAUCGUAAAGCUCUGUUGUAAGAGAAGAACGAGUGUGAGAGUGGAAAGUUCACACUGUGACGGUAUCUGACCAGAAAGGGACGGCUAACUACGUG